ensembl:lncRNA
GGAAACAGGUGAAAAAAGCAGAAGCAGGAAGUAAACAGCUGUAGAUCUUACGACUAUACUCGGACCAAAAAAAACAACAACGUUUAAAUGCUUUUAAAUCGCUUCAGUUUGGAUCCUUGCAGGCUAUAAUGUUCACAGUUCGAGGCUGCAUAAUGAAAAUAAGUUAGCCGGGCUUUAAAGGUAACAAGGAUGUCUGAACAGGUAUGUAAGGCCGCAUGAGUAAUGAGAUCCGAUAAACUCGAGGUAAAAGUUAAAUUAGUUUACAAACACGGUCCCUAAUUUAUGGCGAUGUAACCAUUUAUACCCAUAGUGCAGUGGACUUACUUUAAUUUAGAUGGAGAUUAAGUUUUCGUAUCUCUGGUCUCAGCUUGUUGACUUGUAGUGAAAUAGCCUGAAGCACUUCUUGGAAGUCUAAAAGCACAAGCUGAUAUAUGACUGAGACUGAUGCAUUUUGGAGGAACAGUACUCCAUUUCCUAAAGCAUAUUUAUACCCCUCUGAAUUCACUCAGUGUUACUGUGCACCUCGUCAUCUUUGUGUUGCAGACGUUGCUGUUUUUCAAAUUUAUCUGGAACCACAGAUGGGUUAGGGUUCCUGUUCCAGUGUGUGUGUAUUACUGCAUAUCUACACAUGCGUUUUAUUAUGUAGACAUUGCCAGUACUGACUUGAACCCCAUUUUUGCCUUCACCGCUGCUUUAAUUCUUUGUUGCAUAGAUUCAACAAAGAGCUGGAACCGUUCCUCAGAGAUUGUAGUUCUUAUUGAAAAGAUAUAAUCACAGAGUUGCUGCACAUCUAUGAUUCAUCCUAUUCUACCACAUCCCAAAGAUGCUUGUUGGAUUGUGAUCUGGUCACUGUCAUGAAUUUGAGAUAAUUUGAGCUUUGUGACAUGUUGCAUUAUCCUGCUGGAAGCAGCCAUAAGAACAUUGGUACACUUUAGUCAUAAAGGAAGGGGCAUGGUCAGCAACAACUGUGCCGAGAAAGUAUCCCCCACAUCAUUACAACAGCACCGCCACCAGCCUGAACCGUUGAUGCAAGGCGGGAUGGAGCCGUGCUUUCAUGUUUACAUCAAAUACUGAUCUGAAUGUUGCUGCAGAAAUCAAGACUCAUCAGAGCAGGCAUUAUUUUUCAGAUCUCCUAUUGUUCAUUUUUGGGUAACCUGUGAAAAUUGUAGCUUCGGUUUCCUGUUCUUAGCUGACAGGAGUGGUACCUGGCUCUUCUGCAUAACGUAACAAGUGGUUAUUUGAGUUACUGCUGCCUUUCUAAUAGCUCGAAGCAGUCUGGCCAUUCUCUUCUGACCUCUGGCAUCAACAAGACAUUUUCUCCCAGAGAACUGCCACUCACUGGAUAUGUUCUCUUUUUCAGACCAUUUUCUGUAAACUCUAGAGAUGGUGUAGGAAAAUCCCAGUAGGUGAAGUUUGUGAAAUACUCAGACCGGCCCAUCUGGCACCAACAACCACGCCACAUUCAAAGUCGCUUAAAUCAUCUUCUCUGUUCUAAUGCUUAGUUUGUACUUCAAUACCUUUAUCAUGUCUCCAUGUGUAAAUGCUGCCAGUAGUAAACAAAAGAGAAAAAAUGAGCUUCAUAACCAUCAAACCCCACCCAUCUCUGUUUGGUUGAUUGUGAUUGUGAUUUUGUUUGGCACCACCAAACAAAAUUGUUCGUGUUCAAUGUCACAUUUUGGUCACGCUCCAUCUGAAUUAUUGCUACAGAGAUUAAUUUUGUCGUACUUUGUUCCAAAUCAUGUAAUGGACAGGCCCGACUUAAAGAUAUUAUAGUGAUCUGCAGUACGAUGUGACGAAAUGUCAUCCGGAUUGCAUCAGUUUCUCCUCUUGGCCAGAGACUUGCAGCCCUGCUGCUGAGCUUUUGGGAUGUACCCCACCACUAUGAUUUAUAAUGCACCGCUGUUCAGCUGUCAUAUCUCCUGCUGUAUUUCCUUUUUAUCUUUGCCACACUUCAUGAACUGAGCUGUUAGGUUUAUGGGCUCUUUAACUACCCCACUGUUAGAUCUUAUUGGAUUCAUUUGUCUUUUUAGGCCGGGUUAAGGCUUCACCCCGGGAUUAUUGCAUCAGUGAUCUUGGUGUCUGCGGUGGCGGUAGCUGCUGCCGUAUUGAUCAUCCGAAAAUACUGCUUCCCAGUCAAUGAGGCAACUUACAGAUACUCAGUGCUGAGACAGAUGGAGGAGGGGCAUUCAGCAGCGGCAGAGGAGGAUGGCGACAGGAGGUCGCGCACAGUGGGAGAGGAUUCAGACGAGGUCAGUGCAUCGUGGCUUCUCUGAUUGUAGCUUUCGCUGUCAUCUCUCUUCCAGUACAAGCCAGCACCACUGUAUCCUUCCUAAUCACAUCACAAGUCAAUUUCAACUUCCUUUUCUCUCCCCUUACAGGAUCUUUUGGAAUAAAUCUCCAACUGGGAAGCUGCUGGACUGACUGCAAUGGAGUUUAUUCUAUAAACUGUGUGGUGUACGAAUGAAAUGGAGGAUUGUUUUCGUAGCGGGGAUAAAAAGCGAGCCAAGAAUGUGAAAACCAAAAAUAUACAAUUACAGAUAAAAUAAGUGAGGAAAUAGUAUUCCAUAUUUGCAGUUAUAUCUUAAACUGUAAUUCUGAGAUUAAAUGUGAUUUCUAUUUGUGCAGCUUCAUACUCUUAGAUGUGAAAUAAUGACCUUCAUUUGAAUCAUCACUGACAUUUUCUUUUCUUUUUUUUCCUUUUUUACACAUAACACAUGACAUUUGAUGUCUUUGGCUACUACCCAACCCUCUGAUGGGUGGAGGUUGUUCCCGCAGGCACAGCUCAGGGCUUAAAAAAGGUGUUCUUUUUUUCCAGCAUAAAACUCAUUUAAUCCUUAUUUCUCACAAUCAAUAUUCUGCUAAAAUAUGCUACAAUAAAACAACCAACAAAACAUUCAGUGUUAGCUGUGGUAGAUAAGAGUCGUAAUGAAUUGUCAACAAAAUUGAAUGUGUUAUUUGGCGAUACGGUCAGUGUAUUAAAGCAGCAAUUCAUGCAGCCUUUUUAAAUUAUUCUUUUAUUUUGGAAAGCCUGAUAACUACUGAGCUAUCUGCACAUCUUUCAGCUGCAUUUAUUUUGUUGUUGUUUUUUGGACGAAUGGAGCUCUGAGACCUAUGCGUUUGAUAAGACUUGUGGGUAUGUGAUUUGGAUGCUAAUGCUGCUGAUCAUAUGGAGAGUCAACACUCCACUAUUUACUCCAUUAUUUCCACUAUUUAACUUUAAAUUUAAAUUUAUACCUGAAAUAUAAAAUCUAAAGCGGAACAUUAUUUCCUGUAUUAUUUACUGGCAGUGCAAUAAAUGUCAGUGGGACAUUGAAAGGGCAGACGCACUCACAUUCGCUCAAUGUUUGUCUGUCUGCCACAGAACAUGUAAAUGUGCAAUGCUAUGAAUUAAGCGGUUGUUACAAAGUCGCACAUGGAGAUGUGAUGUUUCGCACACCCCAAAUGAUGUGCAAAGGUAGUCAAAAUAGGACUUCAGCUGUCUGCCAGUUGGGCAGUUUCCCUUUGAAAGGAUUUGCUGUUUCAUCGUUCCACUUAAAGGCAAUUUGCAGUUUAGUCCACUGGGUCUUUAAUGUAGCGCUGGGCUGAAUGAUGUACCCUGAUCUCUCUGACAGCCAUACUUGUCACAGAUAGAAAAAAAGCUACUUACCUGGUUGGGAGCUGCAAGUGAACAUUCUGACGUGAACGUCAGUGUCACAGCUCAAACUAACGACUGGUUCAUUUUAGGUUAUUCGUGUGAUCAACAAAUCAGACACCGAGACCCGAUUCUUGUGUUUUCCAAUCAUCUUUUGCUGUGUAGUUACUGAUGUUGAUGUGGAUCAGUAUUUAUAAAACCUACUGUAUCUUUUUAUUUAUUUUGUGGACAUCUGGGAUCUAAAUCUGCUGGUUAUUAAACAUAUUAAUCAUGUGGACUGGUUAAGUGUGCUCUGUAUGUACUUAUUUUCCCCCCAGUUUGUUACCUUGAUGAUUUGUGUCCUUAUAUAAAGGGAAUGUUUUAUUAAAUGUAGCUCUGGAAUAAAAAAUCCAGGAG